GGCGAUCUUCGGUUUCUUCGGCGAUUUCUUCGAUAUCGCCCGGAAACAAUCGCUAUCGAUCGCGGAUCGCGCGAUUGGCGAGCGGUUAAGACGCGGUUCGGUUCGGUUAAAAGGUGGCGUCGGUGCGGGGGGCGGGGCGGAGGUGAGACGGGCCACACCUGAUUGGCGGAAGGCCGGACGCCAUUGUUUCCGGUUGGGGGCGCGGCGGCGCGAAGCGAGAGACGCUCGCCCGCUGGAGGACAUUAGCGUCGCGACGUCGACGACUCCAAGACGCUCCGAGCGAUUCGGCAAAGAACAAGUCGGUGUUCAUUAAGUUUUUCGCCCGAGGUACGGCAGUGCGAGACAGGUGAGAGGUGGAGUGCGGAGGGGAGGUGCAGACAGAGAUGAGAGGGAGCUUUACGAGACUGAAAGCUCGAUUGAGUGUGGCUUUGAAUCGAUUUGCAGGACCUGAAACGAUCACUGGAGGGUGUGCUUAUCAUUAACUUUGUUUUCAGGAGUUUUCACUCAAUUUUUCAGGCUAGUAACUGUUCAACCCAAAUGUUAUAGGUAAUUAAACUCCAAACACGUUACAAUUUUUUUAUUCAAGUAGACAUUUCUAAGACAUUUUAUCUACAUACUUAGAAUCAAAAAUGCAGGUUUGAGUUUAAAUUACAUAUUUUUAUUUUUUUUUAAACGUAACGUUUAGCAAUGUAAUUUUUAAACUUAACUUUGGUUAAGCUGUACACUAAUUUGUUCUUAUAAUAAUUCUUGUAACAAUAAAUACAUUUUGGUGUAA